rnacentral:rRNA from 1 species
UACGGAGGGGGCUAGCGUUGUUCUGAAUUACUGGGCGUAAAGCGCGCGUAGGCGGACCUGCAAGUCGGGGGUGAAAGCCCGAGGCUCAACCCUGGAAAGCGGGUGGAUACUGCCGGGCUCGAAUCCGGAAGAGGCGAGUGGAAUUCCUGGUGUAGCGGUGGAAUGCGCAGAUAUCAGGAGGAACACCAAUUGCGAAGGCAGCUCGCUGGGACGUGACUGACGCUGAGACGCGAAAGCGUGGGGAGCAAACAGG